ensembl:lncRNA
CUCCGGUUCCUUACGGAGAUCCUCAGGAUCUUCUGCCUUAAUAGGGAAUCUCUCGCUCCCUGCCGUUCACCGUAACGUGAAGGCCAAGGCCAGAGCGGAAAACACGAACACACAAAGUUUUUGAGGUGAGCCUCACAACAGCUCCAUGUGUUGUGGAUCGCCUGACGCAUCGCAUCGCUUCCGAACGUCUCCGAUCUCCUCUGUAACUGACUCGCGUUCCACUGCCGUGCGACACACACUACAAGUGACGUGUGGAGAAGUCAAUGCCGAGUGAUUCCGAAGUAUAAAUAAAGAGAGGGAGAGAGAGAGAGAGAGAGACACACACACAAAAACACGCCGACAUCCCGUCUUCACCGAGGGAGGCCGGGGUGUUUUUUCACAGGUGCAUGCUGAAAAUACCUGCAGGCUAAGCUGUAAAAAGCAGAAAUAUGUGCCCCCCCGCCACCCCCUCGUAGCAGAAGACAAGAAAAACAAGGCUGCGCUAGUUUCAGUCACACACAGAGCAUGGGACAACCCUGACCACAAGAAUGGAGCUGAAAUAAUGAAACCAGACUGGCUUAGCUUAGUCUCAUUCCAAGCCCGGAAAAAUCGAGCGAGUUUCAGAGGAAAGGUCAAUAAUGAACUCUCAGAGACUGAACUGCCAACGACGAGCGCAAACAAACCAUUCUAAACCAAAGGAAGAAAGCCAUGCCACUGGAUGAGACUGAUAUUUGUACCAAAAGCUUGUAAACCUUUCACUUUUAGUUGACUAGAUAAUAAUAAACAGUACACUAUAAAAUCGAAGAGGCAGGAAAAGACUGUAGAGCAGACGGAGGCCACGCCUCCGUCACCGAAGCCGACGACCAGAGGCCACGCCUCUGUCACUGAAGCCAACGGCCAGAGGCCACGCCUCCGUCACUGAAACCGACGGCCAGAGGCCACGCCUCCGUCACUGAAGCCGACGGCCAGAGGCCACGCCUCCGUCACUGAAGCCGACGGCCGGAGGCCACGCCUCCUUCACUGAAACCGACGCCUAAAGGCCACAUCUGAGAUGUUUUACACAAUGCCCAUCAACAUGGGAAAGUGUUUAAGGAGGGAAAAACCCAGCUAGAAGAAGAUACCCUAUGCCCAGGCAAGCUGGGUGUUAUAUACACUUCCAAUUUGUUCUUCCCCGCAGAUAAUAGCAGUGUUUAAUUUAGACAAAAGCAGUAUCAGGUAUCGCAGGGGAUGGUGGGGAAAACCCGGCAUCAG